AUACCCUAUUAUUUUUAAUGUAAAAUUUAAACCUGAGUAUUAAUAGUUAUGGUCUUAAAACUUAAAGAAUUUGGCGGUAUUAUAAUCUAUUUAGAGGAAUCUGUUAUGUAAUCGAUAGACCACGUUGAACCUUACUUAUAUUAUUUCCUGUAUAUCGCUGUUUUUGAAUAUACUUUUAGGUUAUUUUCUUGAUAUAGAAUAAUUUAAUAUUUCAAGUCAAGGUGCAGUAAUAUAUGAGUUGAAUAAUGGAUUACAAUAAAUUUUAUUUAUAUGGAUUUUUAUUGAAAUAUAAUUUGAAGGUGGAUUUAAUUGUAAUUUUUUAAAGAUUAUAAAAAUGAUUAAUAGUUCUAUAAUAUGCACACAUCGCCC
rnacentral:rRNA from 1 species